rfam:Eucalyptus grandis cultivar BRASTZ1 unplaced genomic scaffold scaffold_7, whole genome shotgun sequence.
GUGUCCCCUAGAGUUCUCCUGAACACUUCAAUAGGGAUUUGAAAAGGAAAGAAGAAAAUACAAGCCAAGUUCCUAGUGAAGUGUUUGGGGGAACUCCGGGUGCCAU